rnacentral:tRNA from 1 species
GGGCGAGUGGCGGAAUCGGUAGACGCGCUAGACUCAAAAUCUGGUUCUCGCAAGGGAGUGAGGGUUCAAGUCCCUCCUCGCCCA